rfam:Crassostrea gigas strain 05x7-T-G4-1.051#20 contig9367, whole genome shotgun sequence.
AUAAUGGCUUUUUUUAAAGCCACGAUACACAAACAUUUCAUACAAAU